rnacentral:rRNA from 1 species
UGGGGAAUCUUCCGCACUGGGCGAAAGCCUGACGGAGCAACGCCGCGUGAACGAUGAAGGUCUUAGGAUCGUAAAGUUCUGUUGUUAGGGACGAAGGGCAAGGGUUAUAAUACAGCCUUUGUUUGACGGUACCUAACGAGGAAGCCACGGCUAACUACGUGCCAGCAGCCGCGGUAAUACGUAGGCGGCAAGCGUUGUCCGGAAUUAUUGGGCGUAAAGGGAGCGCAGGCGGGAAACUAAGCGGAUCUUAAAAGUGCGGGGCUCAACCCCGUGAUGGGGUCCGAACUGGUUUUCUUGAGUGCAGGAGAGGAAAGCGGAAUUCCCAGUGUAGAGGUGAAAUGCGUAGAUAUUGGGAAGAACACCAGUGGCGAAGGCGGCUUUCUGGACUGUAACUGACGCUGAGGCUAGAAAGCUAGGGUCGAGAACG